rnacentral:rRNA from 1 species
AUGGAUUUUACCAUUCUGAAUUGGAAUGUGAGGGGACUGAAUAAUCUGGCGAAGAGGAGGGCUGUGCAACUGUUUGUGGCUGGCCUAAACUACAACAUAGUCUGUCUGCAAGAAACAAAGAUCUGCGACAUGACCAGGAGCAUAGUGGUUGAGGCUCUGGGACCGAGAUUUGGGGAACAUUUCAUCGCUCUGCCAGCGGUUGGAUCCAGAGGAGGAAUUCUAAUUGUUUGCACUGACGACCAUGAAUUAAUGGCUGAACCAUUGGCAGCGGGACUGCAUUCUGUCUCUGAAACGAUCAGAAACAAGACAGUCGGGCAAAGAUGGUCAAUAACCGGGGUCUAUGGGCCGCAGGCGGAGGCUGACAAGUUGGCAUUCAUUGAUGAGAUCAAGUCGAUCAAGCAACACCUGCUGCCCAGGUGGAUGAUCCUCGGAGACUCUGUCGGGCAAGUGACAAGAGCAACUCUAACAUAA